rnacentral:rRNA from 1 species
UACGUAGGGGGGCUAGCGUUGUCCGGAAUCAUUGGGCGUAAAGCGCGUGUAGGCGGUCCGGUAAGUCCGCUGUGAAAGUCGGGGGGCUCAAACCCUCGGAUGCCGGUGGAUACUGUCGGGCUUGAGGUACGGAAGAGGCGAGUGGAAAUUCCUGGGUGUAGCGGGUGAAAAUUGCGCAGAUAUCAAGGAGGAACACCGGUGGUCGAAAGGGCGGG